rnacentral:rRNA from 1 species
AGGACGAACGCUGGCGGCAGGCUUAACACAUGCAAGUCGAGCGCCUCGCAAGAGGAGCGGCAGACGGGUGAGUAACGCGUGGGAACGUGCCCAAAGGUACGGAACAACUCCGGGAAACUGGAGCUAAUACCGUAUGUGCCCGAAAGGGGAAAGAUUUAUCGCUUUUGGAUCGGCCCGCGUCUGAUUAGCUAGUUGGUAGGGUAACGGCCUACCAAGGCGACGAUCAGUAGCUGGUCUGAGAGGAUGACCAGCCACACUGGGACUGAGACACGGCCCAGACUCCUACGGGAGGCAGCAGUGGGGAAUAUUGGACAAUGGGCGCAAGCCUGAUCCAGCCAUGCCGCGUGAGUGAUGAAGGCCUUAGGGUUGUAAAGCUCUUUCGCCAGGGACAUAAUGACGGUACCUGGAUAAGAAGCCCCGGCUAACUUCGUGCCAGCAGCCGC